rnacentral:rRNA from 1 species
CCCGGGCCUUAAUGGCAAAUUGGUGAUUAACGCGUUGGUGACCUGCCUCGAAGGAGAGGGAUAACAGUUCGAAAGGAUUGCUAAUACCUCAUGUGGUUGUUUGGGUUAGAGACCUUACAACUAAACGGAUUUAUUCGCUUCGAGAGGGGCCUGCGUCCCAUCAGCUAGUUGGUAGGGUAAUGGCCUACCAAGGCGAUGACGGGUAGGGGACCUGAGAGGGUGGCCCCCCACAAUGGAACUGAAACACGGUCCAUACACCUACGGGUGGCAGCAGUAGGGAAUAUUGGUUAAUCUGGGAUACCGGGAACCAGCAACGCCGCGUGUGCGAUGAAAGCCUUCGGGUUGUAAAGCACUUU